rnacentral:rRNA from 1 species
UUUGCAGGCGGCAGCUACCAUGCAGUCGAGCGGUAACAAAUAGUAGCUUGCUACUCUGGCGUCGAGCGGCGGACGGGUGAGUAAUGCUUGGGAACAUGCCUUGAGGUGGGGGACAACAGUUGGAAACGACUGCUAAUACCGCAUAAUGUCUACGGACCAAAGGGGGCUUCGGCUCUCGCCUUUAGAUUGGCCCAAGUGGGAUUAGCUAGUUGGUGAGGUAAUGGCUCACCAAGGCGACGAUCCCUAGCUGGUUUGAGAGGAUGAUCAGCCACACUGGGACUGAGACACGGCCCAGACUCCUACGGGAGGCAGCAGUGGGGAAUAUUGCACAAUGGGCGCAAGCCUGAUGCAGCCAUGCCGCGUGUGUGAAGAAGGCCUUCGGGUUGUAAAGCACUUUCAGUCAGGAGGAAAGGUUAGUAGUUAAUACCUGCUAGCUGUGACGUUACUGACAGAAGAAGCACCGGCUAACUCCGUGCCAGCAGCCGCGGUAAUACGGAGGGUGCGAGCGUUAAUCGGAAUUACUGGGCGUAAAGCGUACGCAGGCGGUUUGUUAAGCGAGAUGUGAAAGCCCCGCGCUCAACCUGGGAACUGCAUUUCGAUCUGGCAAACUAGAGUGUGAUAGAGGGUGGUAGAAUUUCAGGUGUAGCGGUGAAAUGCGUAGAGAUCUGAAAGAAUACCGAUGGCGAACGCAGCCACCUGGGUCAACACUGACGCUCAUGUACGAAAGCGUGGGGAGCAAACAAGAUUAUAUACCCUGGUACACA